rnacentral:ncRNA from 1 species
CCUGCCACUCAACACGGGAAAACUCACCUGUCUCGGACAUCGUAAGGAUUGAUAGAUUGAGAGCUCUUUCAUGAUUUGGUGUUUGGUAGUGCAUGGCCGUUCUUAGUUGGUGAAGAGUGAUUUGUCUGGUUUAUUCUAAUAAUGAGCAAGACUCUAGCCUACUAAAUAGUUAUUGGAUUUUUGUCGAGACAACUGCAAGCUAAGGGAAUAUUAUAUUAACAGAAGAUAUUAACGUCCAACAAAAUAGGUUUCCAAAAUUUCAGAUGG